GCCCCUGUGGCGGAACUGGUAGACGCGACAGACUCAAAAUCUGUUGUCCUUUCGGACGUACCUGUUCGAUUCAGGUCAGGGGCACCA
rnacentral:tRNA from 1 species